UGAAGAUGGCACACACACACUGG
rnacentral:piRNA from 1 species